UGGGGAAUAUUGGACAAUGGGGGCAACCCUGAUCCAGCAAUGCCGCGUGUGUGAAGAAGGUCUUCGGAUUGUAAAGCACUUUCGACGGGGACGAUGAUGACGGUACCCGUAGAAGAAGCCCCGGCUAACUUCGUGCCAGCAGCCGCGGUAAUACGAAGGGGGCUAGCGUUGCUCGGAAUGACUGGGCGUAAAGGGCGUGUAGGCGGUUUACACAGUCAGAUGUGAAAUCCCCGGGCUUAACCUGGGAGCUGCAUUUGAUACGUGUAGACUAGAGUGUGAGAGAGGGUUGUGGAAUUCCCAGUGUAGAGGUGAAAUUCGUAGAUAUUGGGAAGAACACCGGUGGCGAAGGCGGCAACCUGGCUCAUUACUGACGCUGAGGCG
rnacentral:rRNA from 1 species